rnacentral:rRNA from 1 species
UACGUAGGGUGCGAGCGUUAAUCGGAAUUACUGGGCGUAAAGCGUGCGCAGGCGGUUCGCCAAGUCAGGUGUGAAAUCCCCGGGCUCAACCUGGGAACUGCCUUUGUGACUGCAUAGCUAGAGUACGGUAGAGGGGGAUGGAAUUCCGCGUGUAGCAGUGAAAUGCGUAGAUAUGCGGAGGAACACCGAUGGCGAAGGCAAUCCCCUGGACCUGUACUGACGCUCAUGCACGAAAGCGUGGGGAGCAAACAGG